UUGUUUUUCACUUUAAAAUGUUUUGCCUUUCUUCCUCACCCAGUUAAUACACUGUUAAAUGUGAAAUUAAGUGAGACAGAAAAUGGCAAGCAUGUCUCUAUAUUGGAUCUACCUGGCAACAUUCUUAUUAUCCCUCAAGCUACCCUUGGAGGAAGACUAAAAGGAAGAAACAUGCAAUAUCACUCUAACUCUGGAAAAGAAGAAGGGUUGGAACUUUACUCUCAAUUUGUGACGCUAUGUGAAAAAGAAGUAGCUGCUAAUAGCAAGUGUGCUGAAGCUGGGGUUGUAGUGGAACAUGGCACUUACGGGAACAGGCAGGUGUUAAAGCUGGACACCAACGGACCAUUCACACACUUAAUUGAGUUUUGA